AGAUUAUCAGGAUGAGUAUCAGGACCGUGUUUCUGCGAUAGUGACCGCGGUGCAAAGAACACGGCAGAGCGCCGAGACCCUGCUAGCGUGCCAGGCGAAGGUGGUGCGCCUGGAGCAGGCCUUGCAGGACGUCAGUGCGCGUCAUCAGCUGGAGAGGCAGAGAAGGAAGGCCCUGCACAACAGCCUGGUGGAGCUGAGAGGAAAUAUCAGAGUUCACUGUCGGAUUCGUCCUUUGUUGCCUUUUGAUAGUGAAUCCGAUGAUCCAGUUUUGCAGAGCAGCUCCAUCUCUAGAGAAGUGGCCCAUGCUGUUGAUGACGAAACAGUUCUGGUGAAAUGUGAUCGUCCUGGCCACCCUCUGAUUAAUAAGACAUAUCAUUUUGAAAGG